GAGGGGUGUUACCUCUUCUCUGCAGAUCUUGGCUUAUUGCAGGAUACGACUCAGUACAGGUGGCAAAGCAACAAAUCAGAUCAUUUCAAGGGACGCAGUCAGUGGUCUCACACCCUUUGUGAUAACCUUCUUGAAGAGCAAAGCACCUGUUCCACCUCACAUCUAUGGAAACCUCAGAAGAGCAGAGACGCCCAGAGAGGCAACCAAGGACUAUGCGCAAAAGUGGUACACAUUCAGGAUCUCCUCAAAGACUGAGGUGUCAACGACGCAGUGGGUCCUGCACCACCAAGAGCAUCAUCUCCUCUACUUCAGAAAGACGCAAUGAGAGGGAGAGGAACAGGGUGAAGUUGGUCAAUCUUGGCUUUGCUAAACUCAAACAGCAUGUACCCCAAGCUCAGGGUCCAAAUAAGAAGAUGAGCAAAGUGGAGACCCUGCGGUCCGCUGUAGAGUAUAUAAGUGCUUUACAAAGCCUUCUCCUGGAUAGGCAAUCAGGAGUGGAGACACAAGGAGGACCAAGCUCUGAUGGACUAUCCCCAUGUGGCAGCACCUGCUCAGUGGACUCAGGGUCCAUGCCUCUGUCACCAGGGUCUUGUUCCCCAUAUACGUCAGAAGAGUGUUCCCAGGAAGACAGCAGUGUGUCAGAUGCAGACUUGUUCAUGACAUUGCAUGGCUGGUGAUAGCUUCACAAUGAGAAAAUAAAGAGGGUCCCACAUUGGUAAUCUUCUUAUGGCUGACACUAUUAAGAGGGACUCUCCUGACACGUCUGUUUUAGUCAAUGGUGGGAUCCGGCUUUGAAUAAAAUUCUCGCAACAAUAUUUCUCAUCGGGACAGGAAAAGUUUCAUGGAAUAUGUGGAGACCGUUAUUUAUAUGGGACUUUGUAGAUAGAUAUGUAUUUUUGCUCUCUUUGGACCUUUUGUAUUUAGGAGGGUCAUAUGUUUGGUAAAAUCAGUAUUUUUGGCAUGUUGAGGGGUGAGUGGUAAGCUCCUAUUCAUGAGGCUUUGGGUUUGCUACACGCUCUUUGAUUCUAACUCAGAGGGAUCACAAAUCCACCUCUGGAAAAGGGCUUUUAAGAGAGACCUAUUGUAUACUGAAAUCCCCAUCUCUUUUUAUGGAUCUGAAAAGGCACUGUUUGCUGAGAGCUUUCUUUUGCUCCAGGCUACAUAAAGGACUGAACCUCACUGCCAUAUUCAUUCUACUAAUGGAUCCAAGAGUAAACAGACCCAGACAGACACUGCAUAGUGCAAAAAGCAAAGAAAAUCUCUGAAUAAUAUAUACAUCAAAAAGCCUUUUGUGGCUUAGUACCUCAGUGACAGAGAUGGGCCAUUGUAUUGGUUGUCAGAUUAUAGUAAGAGCACUGUGACCUAUUCACAUUUUCAUCGAAGCAUCUCAUCUGCCCGCUAUAUUGGCUGCUACUAAUAGAUAUAAACCAUGAGUAAACCCUCCAGUGGACCAGGGUAGACUAUGAACCACCAGCUACAUCUACUUUCUCAACAUUCACUUCCAGUCAGGGACCAAUGCUGGUCCAUACAGCUAAGAAACAUCCAAUAUCUAAUACAGUCACCCCACAUGUGCAAUGCUCAAUGUAGGCCAUACCUCCCAAUUCAAUGGGACCAGCCGACCUUCUAAUGUGUAUGAGUGGAGUCCUCAUUUUCCCCCAAUAGCAGAUAGGGGAAGGUCGGCCAUGUUGGAUCAUAAUUAGGGAUAAGCGAAUCGACUUCAGAUGAAGCAUCCGAAGUCAAUUCGCUCAUCCCUAAUCAUAAUAUGUCCAAUCCUUUUGUUCUCAAGGGAAUGGGAGCUAAACCACUGCAUAGGUGUCUAGAAGCAGCUUAUUCUCUUCUCCAUAUUAAUAACACAUGCAUCCUCAAAUAAGCCUAACAUGCAUCAUUAUGGGGAGUUGAAAGAAAUACCUGUCUACUGAACCAGCAUCUGUUGGAGGUGAAUGACCGCCUUUACUCUACUGAGCUUGAGCAACUACUUUACAUGCACUACCGUCAUUGCACUAGUCCAGACAAUUAAUGGGCUUGUCCAAGUGUUUAAGAGUGAUGACCUAUCCACAGGAUACUCCUGGCACCCUUGCCGAUCAGCGGUUUGAAGAGGCUGUGGCACUUCGAUGAGCACCACGGCCUCUUUCUAG